rnacentral:rRNA from 1 species
CAGUCGCCGCGGGAAUACGAAGGGUGCGAGCGUUACUCGGAAUUACUGGGCGUAAAGCGUGCGUAGGUGGUGGUUUAAGUCCGUUGUGAAAGCCCUGGGCUCAACCUGGGAAUUGCAGUGGAUACUGGGUCACUAGAGUGUGGUAGAGGAUAGUGGAAUUUCCGGUGUAGCAGUGAAAUGCGUAGAGAUCGGAAGGAACAUCUGUGGCGAAGGCGACUAUCUGGGCCAACACUGACACUGAGGCACGAAAGCGUGGGGAGCAAACAGGAUUAGAUACCCGCGUAGUCCCUGUCUCUUAUAC